rnacentral:lncRNA from 1 species
UCAGUAAGACCUUAGCAGCUCUACUACAGUGGAAGACCUAUGGACUUAAUAUUGGUUAAUCAGGUCUUAGUGUUUGCAACCUUGAGCUCUUCAUAAGAGGUAAUUGAACAAUUGGCCACGUAAGCAGGUGGGAGGCUCCCCUUACUCAGAUAGUAAGGUCCUAAUUAAGUAACCACCUUUCAUGCUUUCCUAGACACCAAUUAGAUCAAUUAAUCUAAUAUGACUCGCUCAUGUUGGUUCACUCUCGA